GAUGCAUAGCUACUGUCAGUCAUCCCAACAAGUUGACUUAGCGCUCAGUCACUUACCAUUCCAUUAGAUCCUCAUGCUGUCAAAAGCCUAACACUCAUGUUUGAAGCACACAUAUAGUGGUAUACAAAUGUGUGGAGCUAAGGCAUUUUCCCAUUACUGCUACCACACCAACCACACUACGUCAAAUGCCUUACGAAAUCAUCACCCAAAUGAUAAAGCAUCAGGAAAUUUAUCCCACCCGAGGAGUAAUGCAGUUGGUUGCUGUAAUUCCAUUAUUAUGGUCUUUCAUCAUGAACAUUUCAGUGUGUUUCUUAGAAAAGAGCACGCAAGAUUCCCACGGACAUCCUUGAGCCAAUGCUGGAUUUUGUCCAUGACAGAAGAGGGACUUCCACCAACAAUCUGCUUCAUCCUUAUCUUCAAGACUCAUCCAGCUUUACUGCUUCAGUGCUUCUUAUGCUGCUAGUCCUGCUACACAACUUUUCUUGCUUCACUAGCGAGUUGGAUCACUUCAGUUUCUGUGACACACCUGCAGUCACUCACCACGGGAUUAUGGCCAGGUAAUGCAGAGGAGACGCCGAGAAGAUAGAUUUUCUCAUCUUUAAAAAUCGUUGGAAAAUCGUCACCGGCCUCCGCGACUCGUCAUCAACGUGGAUCAUCGUAUUGUUGGUAUUAUUUCGUUUGUGUUAGUGUUAGUUAACCCGUUGGCUGCCACGCCUUUGUUCUCCCCUAGCUC